rnacentral:rRNA from 1 species
GUGUCAGCAGCCGCGGUAAUACGAAGGGGGCUAGCGUUGUUCGGAAUUACUGGGCGUAAAGGGCGUGUAGGCGGCCCGUUAAGGCAGGUGUGAAAUUCCUGGGCUCAACCCAGGACGUGCGCCUGUGACUGGCGGGCUUGAGUCCGGGAGAGGAUGGUGGAACUCCCAGUGUAGAGGUGAAAUUCGUAGAUAUUGGGAAGAACACCCGUGGCGAAGGCGGCCAUCUGGACCGGUACUGACGCUAAGGCGCGACAGCGUGGGGAGCAAACAGGAUUAGAUACCCUGGUAGUCCACGCCGUAAACGAUGAGUGCUAGACGUUGGGAAGCCUAGCUUUUCAGUGUCGCAGCUAACGCAUUAAGCACUCCGCCUGGGGAGUACGGUCGCAAGAUUAAAACUUAAAGGAAUUGACUGGG